rnacentral:rRNA from 1 species
GAUGAACGCUGGCGGCGUGCCUAAUACAUGCAAGUCGAGCGAACAGACGAGGAGCUUGCUCCUCUGACGUUAGCGGCGGACGGGUGAGUAACACGUGGAUAACCUACCUAUAAGACUGGGAUAAAUUCGGGAAACCGGAGCUAAUACCGGAUAAUAUAUUGAACCGCAUGGUUCAAUAGUGAAAGACGGUUUUGCUGUCACUUAUAGAUGGAUCCGCGCCGCAUUAGCUAGUUGGUAAGGUAACGGCUUACCAGGGCAACGAUGCGUAGCCGACCUGAGAGGGUGAUCGGCCACACUGGAACUGAGACACGGUCCAGACUCCUACGGGAGGCAGCAGUAGGGAAUCUUCCGCAAUGGGCGAAAGCCUGACGGAGCAACGCCGCGUGAGUGAUGAAGGUCUUCGGAUCUUAAAACUCUGUUAUUAGGGAAGAACAAAUGUGUAAGUAACUAUGCACGUCUUGACGGUACCUAUUCAGAAAGCCACGGCUAACUACGUG